rnacentral:ncRNA from 2 species
GAAGUUCUUCGGGGCAGGGGGUAGUUCCCGACCGGCGGUAUAGUCCGCGACCGAGUUAAUCUCGUUGAUUUGGUGACAGUAAGGAAAGAUUACUGAAUUCCAAAACCGACAGUAUAGUCUGGAUGAAAGAAGAAGUUU